CUCUCAAAUGGUAUUUCAAAUGACUUGACGUAAUAAACUGCUUAAAACAAAUUUUACACUUGUGAGGUUUUUCUCCAAUGUGCAAUCUCAUAUGUUGUUUUAAAGUAACUGCUAGAUUAAACUGUUUGAAACAAAUUUCACACUUGUGAGGUUUUUCUCCAGUGUGCACUAUCAAAUGUUGUUUUAAAGUGCUUGCUUGACUAAACUGCUUAAAACAAAUUUCACACUUGUGGGGUUUUUCCCCAGUGUGCACUCUUAUAUGUUUUUUUAAAUUACUUGCUAGAUUAAACAGCUUAAAACAAAUUUCACACUUAUGAGGUUUUUCUCCAGUGUGAAAUCUCAAAUGUAAUUUCAAACCACUUGCUUGAAAAAAUUGUGUAAGACAAAUUUCACACUUGUGUGGUUUUUCUCCAGUGUGCACUCUCAAAUGGUAUUUCAAAUCACUUGACGUAAUAAACUGCUUAAAACAAAUUUCACACUUGUGAGGUUUUUCUCCAGUGUGCAAUCUCAUAUGUUGUUUUAAAGUGCCUGCUUGAUUAAACUGUUUGAAACAAAUUUCACACUUGUGAGGUUUUUCUCCAGUGUGCAAUCUCAUAUGUUGUUUUAAAGUGCCUGCUUGAUUAAACUGUUUGAAACAAAUUUCACACUUGUGAGGUUUUUCUCCAGUGUGCACUAUCAAAUGUUGUUUUAAAGUGCUUGCUUGACUAAACUGCUUAAAACAAAUUUCACACUUGUGGGGUUUUUCCCCAGUGUGCACUCUUAUAUGUUUUUUUAAAUUACUUGCUAGAUUAAACAGCUUAAAACAAAUUUCACACUUAUGAGGUUUUUCUCCAGUGUGAAAUCUCAAAUGUAAUUUCAAACCACUUGCUUGAAAAAAUUGUGUAAGACAAAUUUCACACUUGUGUGGUUUUUCUCCAGUGUGCACUCUCAAAUGGUAUUUCAAAUCACUUGACGUAAUAAACUGCUUAAAACAAAUUUCACACUUGUGAGGUUUUUCUCCAGUGUGCAAUCUCAUAUGUUGUUUUAAAGUGCCUGCUUGAUUAAACUGUUUGAAACAAAUUUCACACUUGUG
rnacentral:lncRNA from 1 species